rnacentral:lncRNA from 1 species
AUGCGCGCGCUCCCCGGGGAGCCGGGCAGUGGAGCAGGCGGCCUGCGCCGGACGGCUGUGGCAAGAGAGGGCCAUCUGCCUGGGCGCGGAGAACUGCAGCGUCUGCGGUGCGAGGCGCGGCCCCUCCCGGCCCCCAGCCCCGCGUGCACGCACCUACCCACACCCGUCAGCGCCCACGGCCCGAGCCCCGGUGCCAGGCCCAGACCCAGACUAGGCGCGGGAGGCGGCGCAGGGAUUAGUGGACCUCUUCCCCCCGCGCUCUCCUCGCUCCGCCCGAGGCAGCGAGGACCCCCGGGCCCCAGCGUGAGUGCGGGAGCUUCGUUCCCGCGGUGCCCGGGCUGGGGACUCGGCCUCGCCCGGCGGGGACCGCACGGCGACAGGCCGAGCUUGGUCUGUGGUGGUGGUGGUGUGGGUUUGGGGUGCGGCCGGGCCGGGGUUCACCUGUGGCCGCGCCUGCUCGGGGUCUGAGGCCUCGAAGACCCCAGCCCAAGCCCCCAGGUGAGCCGUGCGGCAAGGAGGGGGGUUGCCUUGGCCUCGGGCCGAACCGAGCGGGCUGAGGGCAGGUGCCCAGUGGAUGGGGAGCCCGGGCUGUAACCUAAGAUGGAGGCCGGGACUGACGCGGACCCGAACGGGGCUGGCGGGGCGGUCGGACAGGCCUCGGCCCGGGCCAGGUGCCGCCGGGCUUGAGGUUCGAGACGGGUAGAGUGUGGGAGCCGUGCGCAGCCAGUAGCCUGCGCAGCGCCCCGAGAUAGGUGAGGGGAUCGGAAUGCCACCCACGACGCCCGCAGGCCCCGACACUCCGGGGAGGCGCGCGAGGCCCCUGGGGAGCCUGCCUCAGGCCCCGCCCGGGCAGCCGGGCCGGCCCGUAGGCCCGGGCCGCGAGCGGGCGCGCAGGGGGGAGGGGAGGGGGCGGCAGCGGCAGCCUCGCUGAUUGGGCGGCGCGCUCGCGAGCCCGACUUCACCCGCCCUGAACCCCGAAGAGUGAGGCGAGGGAGCGCGCGCGCGGUGGGGGGAAGGGGUGCGCGCGCACUCGGGGCCCCGGCCGCACGCGGACCGGCGCGAGGCGCUCGGUCGCACGCGCCGCGGCGAGGGCGCGCGCGGUGGGGGUGUGAGGAGGAGGAGGAGGAGGCGGCGGCGGUGGUGGUGGUGGAGGAAUAGGCCGGGGCAGGUCGCGCUCGCUGUCUUCUCCCCAGAAGAGAGACGCGGGGGGAGGGGGGUGCGGCGAGCGGCUCCUCUCUCCCCAUCGCUCCGCUCGCGCCCCAGUGUAAUGAGGGUCACCCCCUCCCCCCAGCUGGCCCGGGAGGGGGCGCGGGGCACGGUAACUAGUCCGCUGGGGUGGGCGGCGGGCAGGCGCGAGGAGGUGGAGGAGGGAGGAGGUGGCCGGGCGGGGAAGAUGGUGGUGGCCGAGAGGUGAGGGGUUCGGGGGAGGGCCGGGCGCGGCGCGGGGUUGGCGGCCGGCGGCGCUGCA